rnacentral:RNase_P_RNA from 1 species
ACUACAAACCGGGUUAUCGCUAUGCCGUAAGGCAGAGAGGAAAGUCCGGACAGCACAGAGCAAUGUACCGGUUAAGCGCCGGGUCUGCAGUUAGCUGUACAUGCGGCUCCUGCGGAACAGAUAGUGCCACAGAAAAUAACUGCCUUGCACGGGUAACUGUGCAAGGUCAAGGUGAAAAAGUGGGGUAAGAGCCCACGGCGUUGCAGGGUAACCUGCAGCGGGGGUAAACCUUGCAUGCUGAAAUGCCAUGUAUACCAAUCCAUGAAGUGGCUCGCUUCGUUCACGCAAGUGAAGAUUGGGUGGGUAGGCAGCUAGAGCCGGCCAGUAAUGGACGGUCCAGAUAAAUGAUAACCAUGCGCUCCGCGCAUACAGGAUCCGGCUUACAGGUUUGUAGUUGUU